UGAGGGGCCUCCGGGUUGUAACUGGGUUGUUGCAGGAGAACCUUGGGGGCGUGUGGUUUUUUGUAGGUACUGUAUGAAUCCGGACCGGCUAAUUCCGUGCCUGGCCCGCCCUAAUACAAUACGGUCGUUCCAUUAUCCGGAUUUAUUUUAUUUUAAAGUAAGCGUACGCAGUCUGUUUUUUAAGUCUGAUGUGAAAGAUGCUCAACUCAACCAAUUGCUUGCAUAACUGACUGACUUGCUUGUGUGCAGAAGAGGCGAAUGGAAUUCCGUGUGUAUCAAAUGCUUGCAUAUCUAUAUGAAAGAACACCGCUGGCGAAGCUUACUCUCUGGAACUGACUGACACUGAGGCUCGAAAGCGUGGGUAGCAAACAGGAUUACCCUGCCUGUCCGUCCAUGCCGUAAACGAUGCCCGCUGUUGACCCACCUGGGCCAGCCCUCAAGCGCAAGCAUUAAGCAUCCCACCUGGCGA
rnacentral:rRNA from 1 species